rnacentral:rRNA from 1 species
AUACGGAGGGAGCGAGCGUUAAUCGGAAUUACUGGGCGUAAAGCGCGCGUAGGCGGCUUUGUAAGUCGGAUGUGAAAGCCCUGGGCUCAACCUGGGAAUGGCAUUCGAAACUGCAGAGCUAGAGUAUGGUAGAGGGAAGUGGAAUUUCCGGUGUAGCGGUGAAAUGCGUAGAUAUCGGAAGGAACACCAGUGGCGAAGGCGACUUCCUGGGCCAAUACUGACGCUGAGGUGCGAAAGCGUGGGGAGCAAACAGGAUUAGAAACCCUGGUAGUCC